rnacentral:tRNA from 1 species
GGAGAGGUGGCCGAGCGGCUGAAGGCCCACGCCUGCUAAGCGUGUACAGGGGUAACUCUGUCGUGGGUUCGAAUCCCACCCUCUCCG